AUUGAACGCUGGCGGCAUGCUUUACACAUGCAAGUCGGACGGCAGCACAGAGAAGCUUGCUUCUUGGGUGGCGAGUGGCGAACGGGUGAGUAACAUAUCGGAACGUACCGAGCAGUGGGGGAUAACUAAUCGAAAGAUUAGCUAAUACCGCAUAUCUUCUGAGGAAGAAAGCAGGGGACCAUUUGGCCUUGCGCUGUUUGAGCGGCCGAUAUCUGAUUAGCUAGUUGGUGGGGUAAAGGCCUACCAAGGCGACGAUCAGUAGCGGGUCUGAGAGGAUGAUCCGCCACACUGGGACUGAGACACGGCCCAGACUCCUACGGGAGGCGGCAGUGGGGAAUUUUGGACAAUGGGCGCAAGCCUGAUCCAGCCAUGCCGCGUGUCUGAAGAAGGCCUUCGGGUUGUAAAGGACUUUUGUCAGGGAAGAAAAGGGCGGGGUUAAUACCCCUGUCUGAUGACGGUACCUGAAGAAUAAGCACCGGCUAACUACGUG
rnacentral:rRNA from 1 species